rnacentral:rRNA from 1 species
GUCUAUGGCCAUGCCACCCAGGACAAGCCUGAUGUCUAAUCUUGGAAGCUAAGCUGGGUCAGGCCUGGUUAGUACUUGGAUGAGAGACCUCCUAGGAAGAUCAUGUGCUGUAGGCA